rnacentral:rRNA from 1 species
CGCAAGCCUGACGGAGCAAGACCGCGUGCGGGAUGACGGCCUAAUGGUUGUAAACCGCUUUUCUCUGGGAAGAAUGAUGUCGGUACCAGAGGAAUCAGCCUCGGCUAACUCCGUGCCAGCAGCCGCGGUAAUACGGAGGAGGCAAGCGUUAUCCGGAAUUAUUGGGCGUAAAGCGUCCGUAGGUGGUGAAUCAAGUCUGCUGUCAAAGCGUGGGGCUUAACUCCAUAGAGGCAGUGGAAACUGGUUGACUAGAGUGCGGUAGGGGUCGAGGGAAUUCCCAGUGUAGCGGUGAAAUGCGUAGAUAUUGGGAAGAACACCAGUGGCGAAAGCGCUCGACUGGGCCUGCACUGACACUGAGGGACGAAAGCUAGGGGAGCG